rnacentral:lncRNA from 1 species
UCUGCAGGUGGAGGAACCACGCCUACAGCCCAGCUGACAGAGCUCGCCGGUCUCAGCACUUUGGUCGGCUCUCAUGUUGUGUUAAAAUGUGCUAUACAAAUAAACUUGGUAUGGUAUGGUCUCCAGGCGGAGCUUGGCCGGAUCCGUCAGCUCGUCAGCAUCCAGGAGUUCCAGCUGGACACCCUAUCCUCCCCGUAUCUCCAGGAGAAGGUUUCUGUCCAGCCAGCGGCCCCACCUCCGGUCCAGUCAGCAGCUCUCUCGUCUCCAGGCCAAAGGACUGAGCUUGCAGCCCGUCCAACAGAGCUCGCCGGUCUCCGAGCUGAGCUGGUCCGACUCCGUCAGAUCCUCAGCCUCCAGGAGAUCCAGCUGGAUAAUCUAUCCUCCCUGCUUUUCCAGUUACCGGCUCCACCAGGUCCCGCGCCACCAGUCCAGUCAGCGCCAGUUCCAGCGGUGGUCCAGGACGCUCCGCCCCCAGGCCAGCCUGUCCAAGAGGCUCCGCCUCCAGGCCAGCCUGUCCAGUGGUCAGCACCCAGUCCGGCGGUACCAGCCAAGUCAGCGGCCCCUCCUGCAGCGGCUCCGCCUCCACUCCAGAAGUCGACGCCUCCGGUCCAGAAGUCGACGCCUCCGUUCCCGAAGUUGAAGGUUCUGCUCCAGAAGUCGAUGGUUCCGGUCCAGAAGUCAAUGGUCUCAGUCCAGAAGUCUACGGUCCCGGUCCAGAAGUCUACGGUCCCGGUCCAAAAGCGGACGGUCCAGAAGCCGAUGGUCCAGAGGUCGACGGUCCAGAGGUCGACGGUCCAGAAGUCGACGGUCCAGAAGUCGACGGUCCAGAAGUCGACAGUCCAGAAGUUGACGGUCCAGAAGUCGACGGUCCAGAAGUCGAUGCCCCUGGACCAGAAGUCGACGCCCCCGGACCAGAAGUCGACGCCCCCGGACCAGAAGUCUACAAAGGUUGACGUCCUUUCCAAUCCAGAGGUCGACGCCCUUUCCAGUCCUGAAGUCGACGCUCUUUCCAUCUCUGAGUGUUAUGCAAAUGAAACGGCAGCGGAUAUCAGCGAUGCUGCAGCCAGUGUGCAUCACUAA